rnacentral:rRNA from 1 species
GAUGAACGCUAGCGGCAGGCUUAACACAUGCAAGUCGAGGGGCAGCGCGGGAUAGCAAUAUCCUGGCGGCGACCGGCGGAAGGGUGCGUAACGCGUGAGCGACAUGCCCGUUGCCCGGGGACAACCGGUGGAAACGCCGACUAAUCCCCGAUGGGAUACGAUGCUUCAUGGCAUUGUAUUGAAAGUUACGGCGGCGACGGAUUGGCUCGCGUCCGAUUAGCUGGUUGGCGGGGUAACGGCCCACCAAGGCUGCGAUCGGUAGGGGUUCUGAGAGGAAGGCCCCCCACAAUGGGACUGAGACACGGCCCAUACUCCUACGGGAGGCAGCAGUGAGGAAUAGUGGUCAAUGGGCGGAAGCCUGAACCAGCCAUGCCGCGUGCGGGAAGGAGGCCCUAUGGGCUGUGAACUGCUUUUGCCUGGGGGCAAUAAGGGCGUCGCGCACGUCCGAUGAGAGUACCAGGCGAAUAAGCAUCGGCUAACUCCGUG